GCACAAGCGGUGGAGCACGUGGUUAAUUCGAUGCAACGCGAAGAACCUUACCUGGUCUUGACAUCCCGGAGACCCUUAGGAAACUAGGGGGUGCCCUCCAUCUGGAAGAAUCUGGAGACAGGUGCUGCAUGGCUGUCGUCAGCUCGUGUCGUGAGAUGUUGGGUUAAGUCCCGCAACGAGCGCAACCCUUGCCUUUAGUUGCCAGCAGUUCGGCUGGGCACUCUAAAGGGACUGCCGGUGUUAAACCGGAGGAAGGUGGGGAUGACGUCAAGUCCUCAUGGCCUUUAUGACCAGGGCUACACACGUACUACAAUGGCCGAUACAAAGGGCAGCGACACUGCGAGGUGAAGCCAAUCCCGUAAAAUCGGUCUCAGUCCGGAUUGGAGUCUGCAACUCGACUCCAUGAAGUUGGAAUCGCUAGUAAUCGUGGAUCAGCAUGCCACGGUGAAUACGUUCCCGGGCCUU
rnacentral:rRNA from 1 species